CCCUUAGAUGUUCUGGGCCGCACGCGCGCUACACUGAUGCAUUCAACGAGUCCAACCUUGACCGAGAGGUCCGGGUAAUCUUUGAAACUGCAUCGUGAUGGGGCUAGAUUAUUGCAAUUAUUAAUCUUCAACGAGGAAUGCCUAGUAAGCGUGAUUCAUCAAAUCGCGUUGAUUACGUCCCUGCCCUUUGUACACACCGCCCGUCGCUCCUACCGAUUGAGUGUGCUGGUGAAAUGUUCGGAUCGGCCGUUUGUCGCGGUUUCCGCGUCAUGUGGCUGAGAAGUUCAUUAAACCCUCCCACCUAGAGGAAGGAGAAGUCGUAACA
rnacentral:rRNA from 1 species